AGAGUUUGAUCCUGGCUCAGGAUGAACGCUAGCGGCAGGCCUAACACAUGCAAGUCGAACGGUAAGGUCCUUUCGGGGAUACACGAGUGGCGCACGGGUGAGUAACGCGUAUGCAACUUACCCACAACCGGGGCAUAGCUCAGAGAAAUCUGGAUUAAUACCCCAUAAUAUUUAGGAUUGACAUCUUUCCUUUAUUAAAACUCCGGUGGUUGUGGAUGGGCAUGCGUGACAUUAGUUUGUUGGUGAGGUAACGGCUCACCAAGACUACGAUGUCUAAGGGGUCUUAGAGGAUGAUCCCUCACACUGGUACUGAGACACGGACCAGACUCCUACGGGAGGCAGCAGUGAGGAAUAUUGGUCAAUGGGCGAAAGCCUGAACCAGCCAUGCCGCGUGCAGGAUGACUGCCCUAUGGGUUGUAAACUGCUUUUCUACGAGAAGAACCACCUGAUCGUGAUCGGGUUUGACUGUAUCGUAGGAAUAAGGAUCGGCUAACUCCGUGCCAGCAGCCGCGGUAAUACGGAGGAUCCAAGCGUUAUCCGGAUUUAUUAGGUUUAAAGGGAGCGUAGGCGGAAUCGUAAGUCAGUGGUGAAAUCCUGCAGCUUAACUGUAGAACUGCCAUUGAUACUGCUAUUCUUGAGUAUAGUUGAGGUGGGCGGAAUGUGUCAAGUAGCGGUGAAAUGCAUAGAUAUGACACAGAACACCAAUUGCGAAGGCAGCUCACUAAAUUAUCACUGACGCUGAUGCUCGAAAGCGUGGGGAGCAAACAGGAUUAGAUACCCUGGUAGUCCACGCUGUAAACUAUGAUAACUGGUUGUUGGCAAUACAUCGUCAGCGACUGAGCGAAAGCAUUAAGUUAUCCACCUGGGGAGUACGUCGGCAACGAUGAAACUCAAAGGAAUUGACGGGGGCCCGCACAAGCGGAGGAACAUGUGGUUUAAUUCGAUGAUACGCGAGGAACCUUACCUGGGCUCGAACGCGGAACGAUUUCUACCGAAAGGUAGUUUCCCUUCGGGGCGGUCUGCGAGGUGCUGCAUGGUUGUCGUCAGCUCGUGCCGUGAGGUGUCGGGUUAAGUCCCAUAACGAGCGCAACCCCUAUCGUUAGUUGCCAGCUGGUAAUGCAGGGGACUCUAACGAAACUGCCGGUGUAAACCGUGAGGAAGGUGGGGAUGACGUCAAAUCAGCACGGCCCGUAUGUCCAGGGCUACACACGUGUUACAAUGGCCGGUACAAUGAGUCGCUACCUGGUAACAGGAAGCUAAUCUUCAAAACCGGUCUCAGUUCGGAUCGGAGUCUGCAACUCGACUUCGUGAAGUUGGAUUCGCUAGUAAUCGUAUAUCAGCAAUGAUACGGUGAAUACGUUCCCGGGCCUUGUACACACCGCCCGUCAAGCCAUGGAAGCUGGGGGUGCCUAAAGUCCGUAACCGCAAGGAGCGGCCUAGGGUAAAACCAGUAACUGGGGCUAAGUCGUAACAAGGUA
rnacentral:rRNA from 1 species